rnacentral:rRNA from 1 species
CUCGUAGCGGCGAGUGAAGCGGCAAAGCUCCCUUUGAAAGCGUUUCGACGCGGUGUAGUGUGGAUAAGUCGUUGAGUGACGGAUGACUAAGUCCCCUGGAACGGGGUGCCAUAGAGGGUGAGAGCCCCGUGAGUUGUCUUUUUAGCUCUUUAAGUCUUUACCAAAGAGUCGAGUUGUUUGGGAACGCAGCUCUAAGGGGGUGGUAAAUUCCAUCUAAGGCUAAAUCCCGGCGAGAGACCGAUAGCGAACAAGUACAGUGAUGGAAAGAUGAAAAGCACUUUGAAAAGAGAGCGAAACAGUACGUGAAAUUGUUGAAAGGGAAGGGUAUUUGGCCCGACAUGGGUUCUGUGCACCGUUGCCUCUUGUAGGCGGCGCUCUGCUGGAGCCUGGGCCAGCAUCAGUUUUCCGGCGAGGAUAAGAAGUUUUGAACCACAUUGUGGGGAUGAGUUUGAUGCUCGCAUGGGGGACUGAGGACUGCCGCUGUAGGAUGCCGGCAUAACGGCCAAACACCGCCCGUCUUGAAACACGGACCA